UACGUAGGGGGCAAGCGUUGUCCGGAUUUAUUGGGCGUAAAGAGCGUGUAGGCGGCCAAGCAGGUCCGCUGUGAAAACUCGAGGCUCAACCUCGAGACGUCGGUGGAAACCGUUUGGCUAGAGUCCGGAAGAGGAGAGUGGAAUUCCCGGUGUAGCGGUGAAAUGCGCAGAUAUCGGGAAGAACACCCGUGGCGAAGGCGGCUCUCUGGGACGGUACUGACGCUGAGACGCGAAAAGCGUGGGGGAGCGAACAGG
rnacentral:rRNA from 1 species